UGAGGAAUAUUGGUCAAUGGACGCGAGUCUGAACCAGCCAAGUAGCGUGAAGGAUGACUGCCCUAUGGGUUGUAAACUUCUUUUAUAUGGGAAUAAAGUGGUCCACGUGUGGAUUUUUGUAUGUACCAUAUGAAUAAGGAUCGGCUAACUCCGUGCCAGCAGCCGCGGUAAUACGGAGGAUCCGAGCGUUAUCCGGAUUUAUUGGGUUUAAAGGGAGCGUAGGCGGAUUGUUAAGUCAGUUGUGAAAGUUUGCGGCUCAACCGUAAAAUUGCAGUUGAUACUGGCAGUCUUGAGUGCAGUAGAGGUGGGCGGAAUUCGUGGUGUAGCGGUGAAAUGCUUAGAUAUCACGAAGAACUCCGAUUGCGAAGGCAGCUCACUGGAGUGUAACUGACGCUGAUGCUCGAAAGUGUGGGUAUCAAACAGG
rnacentral:rRNA from 1 species